rnacentral:rRNA from 1 species
GAUGAACGCUGGCGGCGUGCCUAAUACAUGCAAGUCGAGCGAACAGAUAAGGAGCUUGCUCCUUUGACGUUAGCGGCGGACGGGUGAGUAACACGUGGAUAACCUACCUAUAAGACUGGGAUAACUUCGGGAAACCGGAGCUAAUACCGGAUAACAUAUUGAACCGCAUGGUUCAAUAGUGAAAGGCGGCUUUGCUGUCACUUAUAGAUGGAUCCGCGCCGUAUUAGCUAGUUGGUAAGGUAACGGCUUACCAAGGCAACGAUACGUAGCCGACCUGAGAGGAGGAUCAGCCACACUGGAACUGAGACACGGUCCAGACGCCGACGGGAGGCAGCAGUGGGGAAUAUUGGACAAUGGGCGAAAGCCUGAUACAGCAAGACCGAGUGGGUGAAGAAGGCCUUCGGGUUGUAAAGCCCUUUUGUUGGGAAAGAAAAGCAGCAGGUUAAUACCCCGCUGUUCUGACGGUACCCAAAGAAUAAGCACCGGCUAACUUCGUG